rnacentral:rRNA from 1 species
CCUACGGGCGGCAGCAGUGAGGAAUAUUGGUCAAUGGGCGCGCGCCUGAACCAGCCAAGUCGCGUGAGGGAAGACGGUCCUAUGGAUUGUAAACCUCUUUUGUCGGGGAGCAAAAGACGCCACGCGUGGCGUUCCGAGAGUACCCGAAGAAAAAGCAUCGGCUAACCCCGUGCCAGCAGCCGCGGUAAUACGGAGGAUUCGAGCGUUAUCCGGAUUUAUUGGUUUUAAAGGGUGCGCAGGCGGAAGAUCAAGUCAGCGGUAAAAUUGAGAGGCUCAACCUCUUCGAGCCGUUGAAACUGGUGUUCUUGAGUGAGUGAGAAGUAUGCGGAAUGCGUGGUGUAGCGGUGAAAUGCAUAGAUAUCACGCAGAACUCCGAUUGCGAAGGCAGCAUACCGGCGCUCAACUGACGCUCAUGCACGAAAGUGUGGGUAUCGAACAGGAUUAGAUACCCUGGUAGUC